GGGCCAUUGACUGAUUUAGCAGGCUACUGUGUUUUGACUUCCUUAAGCACUAUCAAUGACUGUUGUCUGUGUUUUCAGGGAUUGCAAAUCUGUGGCCCUCCAGAUGUUGUUGAACUCCAGUGCCAGCAUAGCCAAUUAAGAUGAAUGAUGGGAGUUGUAGUCAGCAACAUCUGAAGGACCAAGGCUUCCCCACUGUUGUAGACAAUAUUGAGCUAGUUGGAGCAAUGGCAUAAGGCAACUUCCUGUGUUCUUUUGUAGCCCAGCAAUAUCCAGAUAGCAACAGGUUUUCAGAUAUCUGCUGCUAUUUCCCAUUCCCUGCCUCAAUAAAAAAUUACUUUUUGCAUUAAGCCUAUCAGGACUCUAGCCAGCUGGGGUACCUGUGUCUAAGGUGUGAGGCUGAAAAAUGGGCCAGGUUGGUGGAUCUUUUCUUUGCCCCCUGAUUUGGAAAUAGUCCUAAAACCCAAGGGAAGUUCUCAAUAUACCCUCAUUCUCAAUUAAUAAUAAAUAAAUCCUAUUCUCUGAUUUAUAUUAUUUUAUUGUGGCUUGUUUCUUUUUUAAAAAAAUCAUGGACUCGUCUACUGUAGGUCAGAAGUGAUAUGGUUGUAUAGACUUUGGGAAGCAGUGCAUUCUGCUGUUCCAAAACCUGUCCUCCAUUUUCUCAAAAGUUUCUUUCCCUGAGAAAGAGGCUUUCAGGGUAUUUUUCUGUCUCAGGGCAUUAUAGAAAUUUUGGACAGUGUGGGAUUUUAAGCUAUGUUGUUGUUGUGAGGUGUGUGUGUGUGUGUGUGUGUGUGUGUGUGUUUUCUUCCCAGUAAACAUUUAUCCAGCACUUUGCAGCCUCCUCAGUUGUCAUUGCUUUCUGAUCUGAAAAAUGUCCAUAGGGAUAAUUCUCUCACAUUGUUUUGCCAUGAGCUUUAACUGAAGAAUUAGCACCUGGGAAGGCUGCAGAGCACAGGGAUAUGAUUUGCAGAAUGAAAGAAUGGACACUUAUAGAACCCAUGAAAUUUUCACCAAAAAAUUCUCUCCUCUUUGAGAAUUCUUUGAAUGAAUUUUCUCAUUAAUUGAUGGAGAGUGGGUGAGGAUUUGUGGGUGGAGGGAUAAUUUUUUGCCCAGCCCAGCAGUAGCAGAGAGUGAGGAGCAGACAGUGAAUGUCUGGAAUUGAAGGCAGAAGAACUGGAGUCAAUAAGUCUUAGGAAACACAAGAGCUGCUGCUUAAUUUUUCUCAAGGUGGCCUGCAGGGUAGAUCAAUAUGUUCCUCUUUGAGCAGAACUGGGAUGGAUUUAUAAGGGGGAGAAGAUUGGAAUAAUGCUUGCACCAAUGAGCAACAUCUCCCAGCCAGUGAUUAGUAGGUGGUCUACCUUUGUCUGUGCCAUAAAAUGGCGACAUUCCUAUUAACCUCUGAACUCAAAGAAGGAUCAGUUCAGGGACCUAAAAAUUCAACAAGAAUCCAGCAUCCAAAUUCAGGCCCACAAAUUUUGUUGUUGUUGUUUAGUUGUUUAGUCGUGUCCGACUCUUCGUGACCCUAUGGACCAGAGCACACCAGGCACUCCUAUCUUCCACUGCCUCCUGCAGUUUGGUCAGAUUCAUGUUUGUGGCUUCGAGAACACUGUCGUCCUCUGUCGUUCCCUUCUCCUUGUGCCCUCAAUCUUUCCCAACAUCAGGGUCUUUUCCAGGGAGUCUUCUCUUCUCAUGAGAUGGCCGAAGUAUUGGAGCCUCAGCUUCAUGAUCUGUCCUUCCAAUGACCACUCAAGGCUAAUUUCCUUAAGAAUGGAUGCGUUUGAUCUUCUUGCAGUCCAUGGGACUCUCAAGAGUCUCCUCCAGCACCAUAAUUCAAAAGCAUCAAUUCUUCGGCAAUCAGCCUUCUUUAUGGUCCAGCUCUCACUUCCAUACAUCACUACUGGGAAAACCAUGGCUUUAACUAUACGGACCUUUGUUGGCAAGGUGAUGCCUCUGCUUUUUAAGAUGAUGUCUAGGUUUGCCAUCGCCUUUCUCCCAAGGAGCAGGCGUCUUUUAAUUUCGUGACUGCUGUCACCAUCUGCAGUGAUCAUGGAGCCCAAGAAAUGGCCCACAAAUUCCACUGUAUAAUUCCUCUUCUUGGUCUUGAAAGAAUACUGAAAAAAGGAUUCACAGGUUUUCACUGAAACAGAAAGUUGUUAUAGACCUUUCAGAUAACCAAAGAGUUGUCUGGAAGCCAAUCAGACCCUGAUUUAUAUGGGGCCCCUUUCACUUCUGCAGCUAGCAGAGCAUUCAAUUGCCUUGUUCAGCUUUCCACUGCUUUUCUUUUGAAGCAAACUGAUACUAUUAAGGAGAAGAGAGCUGAUUAAUUACUAGCUUCCUUUCUGCUGAACAUAAGUGAGGGGUCCAUCAUCACUCUCCGGGACAUUUUUCUACCUGUAAAGCUACUGGAUAAUUCACUGUAUUGACCAGUUUUACCUUGUCCUCCAAAGACAAAUGCUGCUGUUGCUGAUGAUAUUUUAUUUUGUUUUAUUUUGGCUUAAAACCAAUAGGACACAUGAGGCAAAGAAGCAGGGCAAAGUAAAAUGCAGGAAAAGUUAAGAAAACCUGAAAGUAUGAAGUUAAAUACAGUGGUACUUUGGUUCUCAAACUUAAUCCGUUCCGGAAGUCCGUUCCAAAACCAAAGUGUUCCAAAACCAAGGCGUGCUUUCCUAUGGAAAGUAAUGCAAAAUGGAUUAAUCUGUUCCAGACUUUUAAAAACAACCCCUAAAACAGCAAUUUAACAUGAAUUUUACUAUCUAACGAGACCAUUGAUCCAUAAAAUGAAAGCAAUAAACAAUGUACUGCAAUCACACAAUCAAUCAAUCAGUAGCUGAACUGGGUUCCACACAGUCACAAAAACAAAACAAAAAGAGCCGCA